rnacentral:rRNA from 1 species
UUAAAGGAAUGACGGGCCCGCACAAGCAGCGGAGCGUGUGGUUUAAUUCGAUGCUACACGAAGAACCUUACCAGGGUUUGACAUGCUAGUGGUAGGAACCGAAAGGUGACCGACCCUUCGGGGAGCUAGCACAGGUGCUGCAUGGCUGUCGUCAGCUCGUGUCGUGAGAUGUUCGGUUAAGUCCGCUAACGAGCGCAACCCUCGCUGUGUGUUAUAUGUGUCACAUGGGACUGCCGGCCUUAAGCCGGAGGAAGGUGGGGAUGAUGUCAAGUCCUCAUGGCCUUUAUGUCUAGGGCUACACACGUACUACAAUGGCCGGUACAAAGGGCAGCCACUCAGCGAUGAGGCGCUAAUCCCAUAAAGCCGGUCUCAGUCCGGAUCGCAGUCUGCAACUCGACUGCGUGAAGUUGGAAUCGCUAGUAAUCGUAGAUCAGCAUGCUACGGUCGAAUACGUUCCCGGGCCUU